rnacentral:rRNA from 1 species
UACGGAGGGUGCAAACGUUGCUCGGAAUCAUUGGGCGUAAAGCGCACGCAGGCGGACCGCUAAGUCGGAUGUGAAAGCCCUCGGCUUAACCGAGGAAGUGCAUUCGAAACUGACAGUCUUGAGUAUGGAAGAGGGUCGCGGAAUUCCCGGUGUAGAGGUGAAAUUCGUAGAUAUCGGGAGGAACACCAGUGGCGAAGGCGGCGACCUGGGCCAAUACUGACGCUGAGGUGCGAAAGCGUGGGGAGCAAACAGG